GACGAACGCUGGCGGCGUGCCUAAUACAUGCAAGUAGAACGCUGAAGAGAGGAGCUUGCUCUUCUUGGAUGAGUUGCGAACGGGUGAGUAACGCGUAGGUAACCUGCCUUGUAGCGGGGGAUAACUAUUGGAAACGAUAGCUAAUACCGCAUAACAAUGGAUGACACAUGUCAUUUAUUUGAAAGGGGCAAUUGUUCCACUACAAGAUGGACCUGCGUUGUAUUAGCUAGUAGGUGAGGUAAUGGCUCACCUAGGCGACGAUACAUAGCCGACCUGAGAGGGUGAUCGGCCACACUGGGACUGAGACACGGCCCAGACUCCUACGGGAGGCAGCAGUAGGGAAUCUUCGGCAAUGGGGGCAACCCUGACCGAGCAACGCCGCGUGAGUGAAGAAGGUUUUCGGAUCGUAAAGCUCUGUUGUAAGUCAAGAACGGGUGUGAGAGUGGAAAGUUCACACUGUGACGGUAGCUUACCAGAAAGGGACGGCUAACUACGUGCCAGCAGCCGCGGUAAUACGUAGGUCCCGAGCGUUGUCCGGAUUUAUUGGGCGUAAAGCGAGCGCAGGCGGUUUGAUAAGUCUGAAGUUAAAGGCUGUGGCUCAACCAUAGUUCGCUUUGGAAACUGUCAAACUUGAGUGCAGAAGGGGAGAGUGGAAUUCCAUGUGUAGCGGUGAAAUGCGUAGAUAUAUGGAGGAACACCGGUGGCGAAAGCGGCUCUCUGGUCUGUAACUGACGCUGAGGCUCGAAAGCGUGGGGAGCGAACAGGAUUAGAUACCCUGGUAGUCCACGCCGUAAACGAUGAGUGCUAGGUGUUGGAUCCUUUCCGGGAUUCAGUGCCGCAGCUAACGCAUUAAGCACUCCGCCUGGGGAGUACGACCGCAGGGUUGAAACUCAAAGGAAUUGACGGGGGCCCGCACAAGCGGUGGAGCAUGUGGUUUAAUUCGAAGCAACGCGAAGAACCUUACCAGGUCUUGACAUCCCGAUGCUAUUUCUAGAGAUAGAAAGUUACUUCGGUACAUCGGUGACAGGUGGUGCAUGGUUGUCGUCAGCUCGUGUCGUGAGAUGUUGGGUUAAGUCCCGCAACGAGCGCAACCCCUAUUGUUAGUUGCCAUCAUUCAGUUGGGCACUCUAGCGAGACUGCCGGUAAUAAACCGGAGGAAGGUGGGGAUGACGUCAAAUCAUCAUGCCCCUUAUGACCUGGGCUACACACGUGCUACAAUGGUUGGUACAACGAGUUGCGAGUCGGUGACGGCGAGCUAAUCUCUUAAAGCCAAUCUCAGUUCGGAUUGUAGGCUGCAACUCGCCUACAUGAAGUCGGAAUCGCUAGUAAUCGCGGAUCAGCACGCCGCGGUGAAUACGUUCCCGGGCCU
rnacentral:rRNA from 1 species